AGUGUGGUAAAGAUAGGCUAAGAAAGAAGUCCCGCCUCUGCUGCUGCUGAGAGGAGUAGUGCUUUGGGAGGCCGGCUCGGAGCCGGUACCAUUCCUACACUGCUCCGUUCCUGCACUGCUCCGUGGGCUCUGCUGGUCGCGGCUCCCUGCCGGCACUCGGUGUGCCCGGUCAGGUGUGUGGAAAACAGACAUCAGCCCCCGCCCUCACGUUGGUCUUGCUUCUUAAACCACGCUAGGACUCGAGUGGCAGCAUACACAAAUUAUUCUUGUGGCUUCCUGGAGAAAGCUAAAGGAUCAGCUCGGAAAUGCUGGUGUGAAGAUAGGCGGGAAAACUGGCAGCUGUUCUGAGACACGCUUACUGUCGGAAGCUAGCCGUGCUCCCUAAGAGCGCAGAAAGCCGUGUGGCUUAAGCUGUGAGAGGAGCUUCCAGCACACAGAGCUGGCACUGCGCUGAGACCCGCCAGCUCCAUCAGCAUUGCAAAGGCUGCAGGUAGCUUCGCUGUGUAGAAGGAUUUCUGAACUUAAAGGGAAGAUAUUCAGAUCACUCGGUUUAACUCUACUGGCUAUCUCUCUAAAACAAGCCACACAGCAUCAGUUCACUGGGAAUAGAACUAUUCUGAAUAACAUGCUUUGGUCCAGCAUGAAGGAAGACAAUUUUAAUGAGUUAAGAGGCUCUUAAAGGUUUUUGCCAGACCUUAGAACUACGGAUCACUUAGGUGCACUGGCGGUAAAGGUAGAGAAACUACAGCAAGAUGAAGGAGAAUAAGGUUUACUUCAGAAAGCCAGGACAAUAGGUAGGAAGCAAGCUUUCUCAUAGAUAGUCUUCAGUUGCUAAGGGAGGGCCAAGCAUCUGGCCUCACGACUCCUCCCACUUUCUGCACACAGCCAUAGAUACUAAAAUCAAGUCUUACAUGUUUAACUUUCAGCUUACUAGUGUUUCCUUCUCAUAUCCUGAUAUAAAGAAAGAAUAAAGUAAAAGGGAGAGAGAGAAACAGAAAAAGAGCUGGGGCUGUUAGAAUGAGAAAAAGACCGUUACAUAAGCUAUUUUUCUCUAAGAGCUUGCUUGCUUUGAACCUUGGUCCUGAAAGUAUCUUCAGGAACCCAAGAAUCAUAAAAACCCUAGUUGUGGUUAGCGUAUGAAUAUUUCUGUUCUCAUAUUCCCUGAUUUUUAGAGUUUAUGGCUUAUGAAGGACAUUGCAACGUAUCAAAAUUCAUUUCUACAUAAAUAAUGCAUAGAGUGGACUGGCUGGCUGUGACUGAAAAACUCAAGCUUUUUUUUAGAAAAACAGGGGAAAAACAAAGUACCAGGCCAUUUUUCUCACAUUGUUUAGCCAUGUCAUUUACUUCAAUAAUAAAUCAUUUAAGGUAAGUUGAUGUAGGUGAUACUACAUAAACAGCAAAAAUUUUGAUUCCAGUUAUUUGCAAUUUUCUGUUUGCUGUAAAAGUAAGCCACCUUUAACAAAUAACCAAAGCAGUAACUAAUCCUCUACCCAAAUUUAAAUUUUAUUGCAGAGUUCUGUAGUUUGUGCUAGUUACAAUAUUAUUUUUCCUACUCAACUUCUUUACACAUGCUGAGCCAGAUGUUCAUCUGGUGUAAAUUAACAUUGCUCUGUUGACCCCUCUAGAGACAGGAAGAUUUCUAUCAAGCUGUGGUCAGUUCCUGUAUGACUAAACAUAUAUCAUGUCAUGCAUUGGGGUAUAACACUGUUGAAUCAAGACUCAUUUUCAACUAUUCUGCGUCUUAUUUGCCCUGUAUGUUAUAACGAUUAUAGAAGGUGUAAAGCAGUCGGGCCUGCGUAACUUUAGUGAAGCAUCUCCAGUGGGAAUCUCCUAUGGGAAUCAUUGGGGAAAAAAAGACAGUGUGGGUGACUGUGUCAUGGAGUGGUCUGAAGAUAAAUCAGCAUGGAAGACAGGUUAGAAAGGCUAGAUUGCUAAGGAGUUGGGGGACCUGUUAUUUAUCAUUUAUGAUGAGAGGUAGUGAAGAUUUAAUGAAAAUACUGAGCAGCUGGUAAACAUACAUACAAAGGAUCUGUUUUUCAUACAGCUGUGAUUGCCACUGGAUUUUGCUGAAUUAAAAAAUAGAAAUGGGCUUAUAAAACACUAAGACAUAAUGAUAAUAGGACCAUCAGUGGGUACAAAGUCUGAGGUGGAUGCAAAGUAUUCCUUGAGAGGUCUCCAGCUCACUAAUUGCUCCCAGUGAACCUAAACCCCUGCUAGAGGAAGCUCGUGUGAUACAUCUGCAAUAUCUUAUGCUCCUCUCUCAACUUCCUGUGACUGGAUGGGAUUGCUAUUGGGCCGACUGUAGUGGAGCACUGCACAAUUGUUUUCAAGCUGUUUUUAUGUCAUUUCUAAUACAUGUUGUACUGAUAGAUGUGUGUAUAUAUAUUAUGGGUGCAAAUACAUCGUAAUAUGACCCAGUGGAGCAGAUCUUUAGCUGAUGUUAGUGUAAUUGCAUUGGUUUCUACAGAGUUAUGCUGGCGCGUAACAACUGGGGAACUGGCUCAUGAGAAGCCUGUCUGUUCCAGGCAUUAGCCUCCAAUGUGCUAUUUAGUUACAUGCUGGUGCAGUACUGUGAAAAUUAAUGCAAUUUUAGAAAUUUAAUAUGGGAACAAUGAAGUCAUAAAUGGCAAACAUUAUGGAUUUUGCUCUGUUCUUUAUUGUAUGCUCAACUAAAAUAUGCCUUACUUAGCUGUUCUGUUAUUAAUGCUAUUGGAGCACGAAAAGUAAAAUGAAAAAGAUUGUCUGAAAGAGAGAGAAUUAUGAUUUAAGCUGGAAGAAUUCAUCAAUAAUGAAAAAUACAAAAUAUUUUCUCCCCUCUGUGAAACUUCUGGAGUAAGUAUUUACUAUAAAUGUCUAGUAUACACCAAACAUUGUAGAAUGAAAUAUCUGAUGCCACAUAACUGAAUUCAGGGUUAUACAAUGAAAACUUAGUUCUAUGGAUCCUAAAUAACAGUACGUUAAUUCAUGUAUAUUAAGGCAAUGCUACUCACAAAAGAGAUUAUCUAUGAUAUGGCUUGUCCCUAUGGAAAUUUCUGUUUUUCUUUUUGAAUGUCGGAUGCAAAGAAGAAAAAUGUCAAAUUGUGAAUAUUGUUGUAUUGAGGUUAAUAGCUUUCCAAUGUUAUUUUUCAUUAUUUGUCUGUAUUCCCUUUUAGUUUAAGUUUUUUAAUAUGCUACUGUCAAUAUAUGUGAUAAUCCUACAGUCAGAAAAAGAUGAAGUUGGGAAUGCAAUAAUUAGUGAUUAGACUUGAGGACUAUGCAUAAAAAUUUGGUCUAAUAAAUUCAUUAUCCUCUUUGUGUUUUAUGACUGCUGAUUUGGGUUCUAUGGACAAUCCAACUGCAUAUGUUGUGCUUUAAGAGUAUGUAAUUUUGUAUGUAAUGUCCUUUUAAGAGUAUGUAAUUUAUAAUUUUGUCAGUGCUCGAGCACAGAAUUUCUUAAUCAUUAAGCCUGUGAAGUGGAGAAACAUCCAAAUUAUCAAAUGAUUUCAUGGACAUUUCACAUUUUUGUUCUUCAUAUAUAUUCAUAUAACAUUGACUGUGAUGUCUCUGCUAGCAGCCCUUGCAUGAUGCACUGCAAAAUGUAUGAAGGAAAUAAGCUUCCUAUAACUAACAGGAGAUAAUACGCACUUUUUUUUUUUCUCCUUUCUUUGU